AUCGCUUCUCGGCCUUUUGGCUAAGAUCAAGUGUAGAAACUGAGUAUAUUUUAAACAUAAUAUGUAUUCCCCUCUGUAGCCAGACACUUGUAACAUGUAGAAGUUGAUCAGUACAAAAUUUUAAGUGUGAAAAAGUAUGUAACAUUUUUUUAACAGCCACUAUAGACUAGCACUCUUUUAAAUAUUUGGAUGCAUUUUC
rnacentral:snRNA from 1 species